CGACACCAAUACUCAACUCAUUUGGCUAAAAGAAAUUGAAAGGGCACAUGGUUCUGUUGAAGUGAACGCACUCGCACAGGCAGAAGCGAUUAACAGCGAUGGCAUAUUUACUGUCGGAACGCUUGGACACAACUACGAAACCGACAAGCAUCUGAUGAAUGAAGACAUGAUUAAGUUAACAAUACCGAAACAAAAAAAGAAGUAUACCUUUAAGCAAUUACAAGAUCUGCAAAGUCGACUCAUGUUAGUUGCAGGGCAAGCUGUACACGCCACCCGAACAUGCGUGGGUGUUGAAAGGUUUACUGUGAUUUUCGACAGCGUAACUCGGCUCGCAAAUGUCUUAAGAAAACUUCGUGUUUCCGGAUGUGUUCUAUUCAAUGAGUGGCAAGGACAGUUUUGGUGCAGUCCCGAAAGACCGGUGUGUGUAGAGCUGACAUUUGGCAAUGAUAAGAGUAUGCCGACU